GAGUUUGAUCUUGGCUCAGAGCGAACGCUGGCGGCGUGCGUAACACAUGCAAGUCGAGCGAGAAAAGGGGCUUCGGCUCCUGAGUAGAGCGGCGAACGGGUGAGUAACACGUGGGUGAUCUAUCCCCAAGGCAGGAAUAACUUAGCGAAAGCUGAGCUAAUGCCCGAUGAGACCACAGAAGACAUUCAGAGGUCAAAGAGAGCUUUGUGAGAAGCCCUUCUUUGGGGGAGGAGCCCGCGACCUAUCAGCUGGUUGGUAGGGUAACGGCCUACCAAGGCAAAGACGGGUAGCUGAUCUGAGAGGAUGAUCAGCCACACGGGGACUGAGACACGGCCCCGACUCCUACGGGAGGCAGCAGUGGGGAAUAUUGGGCAAUGGGGGAAACCCUGACCCAGCGACGCCGCGUGGGUGAUGAA
rnacentral:rRNA from 1 species